rnacentral:rRNA from 1 species
AGUGAACGCUGGCGGUAGGCCUAACACAUGCAAGUCGAACGGCAGCACAGUAAGAGCUUGCUCUUACGGGUGGCGAGUGGCGGACGGGUGAGGAAUACAUCGGAAUCUACUUUUUCGUGGGGGAUAACGUAGGGAAACUUACGCUAAUACCGCUUACGACCUACGGGUGAAAGCAGGGGAUCUUCGGACCUUGCGCGAUUGAAUGAGCCGAUGUCGGAUUAGCUAGUUGGCGGGGUAAAGGCCCACCAAGGCGACGAUCCGUAGCUGGUCUGAGAGGAUGAUCAGCCACACUGGAACUGAGCCACGGUCCAGACUCCUACGGGAGGCAGCAGUGGGGAAUAUUGGACAAUGGGCGCAAGCCUGAUCCAGCCAUACCGCGUGGGUGAAGAAGGCCUUCGGGUUGUAAAGCCCUUUUGUUGGGAAAGAAAAGCAGCAGGUUAAUACCCCGCUGUUCUGACGGUACCCAAAGAAUAAGCACCGGCUAACUUCGUG